CCUACGGGAGGCAGCAGUGAGGAAUAUUGGUCAAUGGGCGAGAGCCUGAACCAGCCAAGUCGCGUGAGGGAGUACUGCCCUAUGGGUUGUAAACCUCUUUUGUCGGGGAGCAAAAGCCGGACGUGUCCGGCUGUGAGAGUACCCGAAGAAAAAGCAUCGCCAAACUCCGUGCCAUCAGCCGCGGUAAUACGGUGGAUGCGAGCGUUAUCCGGAUUGAUUGGGUUGAAAGGGUGCGCAGGCGGAUUUUUAAGUCAGCGGGCAAAUCGUGGGGCCCAACCCCAUCCAGCCGUUGAAACUGGGGAUCUAGAGUGUGCGAGAGGUAUGCGGAAUGCGUGGUGUAGCAGUGAAAUGCAUAGAUAUCGCGCAGAACCCCGAUUGCGAAGGCAGCAUACCGGUGCACAACUGACGCUCAGGCACGAAGGCGUGGGUAUCGAACAGGAUUAGAUACCCUAGUAGUC
rnacentral:rRNA from 1 species